rnacentral:tRNA from 1 species
UAAACUAUAGUCAAUAUAUGACAUAUAAGUUGCAUUUAUAAAGAGUUUUUAAAACUAGUUUAA